rnacentral:pre_miRNA from 1 species
AUACAGGGCAAGUUGUUUUAGUGUCGGAAUAAAUUUCUCGGAAGGAAAUGGAUCUUAAAUAGCUUUUCUUUCAAGUCAAGUGUCUUGU